rnacentral:rRNA from 1 species
CCUACGUGAGGCAUCAGUGGGGAAUAUUGGACAAUGGGGGAAACCCUGAUCCAGCGACGCCGCGUGAGUGAAGAAGUAUUUCGGUACGUAAAGCUCUAUCAGCAGGAAAGAAAAUGACGGUACCUGACUCAGCAUCCCCGGCUAACUACGUGCCAGCAGCCGCGGUAAUACGUAGGGGGCAAGCGUUAUCCGGAUUUACUUGGUGGAAAGGUAGCGUAGACGGCAGCGCAAGUCUGGAGUGAAAUGCCGGGGCCCAAACCCGGAACUGCUCUGGAAACUGUGAAGCUGGAGUGCCGGAGAGGGAAGCGGAAUUGCUGGUGUAGCGGUGAAAUGCGGAGAUAUCAGGAGGAACACCGGCGGCGAAGGCGGCUUACUGGACUGUAACUGACGUUGAGGCUCGAAGGCGUGGGGAGCAAACAGGAUUAGAUACCCCAGUAGUC